GGGCCCUAGCUCAGUGGUAGAGCAUCUUCUCUGCUUGCUGAAGGUCCCUGUUUCAAGCCCUGGCAUCUCCA